rnacentral:rRNA from 1 species
CGCCCUAAACGAUGAAUGUUAGUCGUCGGGUAGCUAGUCUAUUCGGUGAUGCAGUUAACACAUUAAACAUUCCGCCUGGGGAGUACGGUCGCAAGAUUAAAACUCAAAGGAAUAGACGGGGACCCGCACAAGUGGUGGAGCAUGUGGUUUAAUUCGAAGAUACGCGAAGAACCUUACCUAGCCUUGACAUAUUUUAGAACACUUUAGAGAUAGAGUGGUGCCUUCGGGAGCUAAUAUACAGGUGCUGCACGGCUGUCGUCAGCUCGUGUCGUGAGAUGUUGGGUUAAGUCCCGCAACGAGCGCAACCCUCGUCACUAGUUACUAACGGUUCGGCCGAGGACUCUAGUGAGACUGCCUUCGCAAGGAGGAGGAAGGUGAGGACGACGUCAAGUCAUCAUGGCCCUUACGGCUAGGGCAACACACGUGCUACAAUGGCCAGGACAAUGAGACGCAAUACCGCGAGGUGGAGCAAAUCUAUAAACCUGGUCUCAGUUCGGAUUGUUCUCUGCAACUCGAGAGCAUGAAACUGGAAUCACUAGUAAUCGUAGAUCAGCUAUGCUACGGUGAAUACGUUCCCGGGUCUUGUACUCACCGCCCGUCACACCAUGGGAGUUGAUUUCACCCGAAGCGGGGAAGCUAAACUGGCUACC